rnacentral:rRNA from 1 species
CCUACGGGUGGCAGCAGUGAGGAAUAUUGGUCAAUGGGCGUAAGCCUGAACCAGCCAAGUAGCGUGAAGGAUGACGGCCCUAUGGGUUGUAAACUUCUUUUAUACGGGAAUAAAGUGCGGGACGUGUAGGGUUUUGUAUGUACCUUAUGAAUAAGGAUCGGCUAACUCCGUGCCAGCAGCCGCGGUAAUACGGAGGAUCCGAGCGUUAUCCGGAUUUAUUGGGUUUAAAGGGAGCGUAGGCGGACUGUUAAGUCUGCUGUGAAAGUUUGGGGCUCAACCGUAGAAUUGCAGUUGAAACUGGCAGUCUUGAGUAUGGUGGAGGCAGGCGGAAUGCGUGGUGUAGCGGUGAAAUGCUUAGAUAUCACGCAGAACCCCGAUUGCGAAGGCAGCCUGCUGAACCAUAACUGACGCUGAUGCACGAAAGCGUGGGUAUCAAACAGGAUUAGAUACCCUUGUAGUC